GACGAACGCUGGCGGCGUGCCUAAUACAUGCAAGUAGAACGCUGAAGGAGGAGCUUGCUUCUCCGGAUGAGUUGCGAACGGGUGAGUAACGCGUAGGUAACCUGCCUGGUAGCGGGGGAUAACUAUUGGAAACGAUAGCUAAUACCGCAUAACAGUAGAUGUUGCAUGACAUUUGCUUAAAAGGUGCAAUUGCAUCACUACCAGAUGGACCUGCGUUGUAUUAGCUAGUUGGUGAGGUAACGGCUCACCAAGGCGACGAUACAUAGCCGACCUGAGAGGGUGAUCGGCCACACUGGGAAUGAGACACGGCCCAGACUCCUACGGGAGGCAGCAGUAGGGAAUCUUCGGCAAUGGACGGAAGUCUGACCGAGCAACGCCGCGUGAGUGAAGAAGGUUUUCGGAUCGUAAAGCUCUGUUGUAAGAGAAGAACGAGUGUGAGAGUGGAAAGUUCACACUGUGACGGUAUCUUACCAGAAAGGGACGGCUAACUACGUG
rnacentral:rRNA from 1 species